UGAAGAAAGAAAUCCAAGAUCUAAUUUCUUUCCGUAAAAGUAUCUCAAAACAUAAAUGUAAGAAUGAAAUAAGCAAUCGAUUCAAUUUGAAAGCCUAAAUCGUUGUCAUUGGUACCUUUUUUUUGAAGGUUAAUCAUGCCAGGGGAAAAUUUGAUGAGAUUCAAUUUCAACAUUGAAGAGUUCAUCGUUGAAAGCGAUUGAAAAGUUAAAUGCAUGGUUUGUGAACAAAUGGGCAAGAACUGUGACAUAUUUUCAUGGAAUAACUUAUAACGAUGCUAAGAACUUUUGGAGUACCAGAAAGAAGAGAUUGGAAAGGAUGUUGCAGACACCAACGAUAUCACAGGAAAACAAUGGAUAGUCCAUUGUCUUAGAGGAGAAUGAAGGUCAAAGCUGAUAAAGAUGGGUCCUCGCCUCAUGCUUCUAUGCUUGCAACCCAAGAUGUUGCAACUGGGUGACAAGUUAACUGCUAACCAUCCUAUGAAAAUCAUACCAUUCUUCAGCAAGAGCUUGACGGUUUGAUAUUUUUGUCAGUAUGUGUAGACUAAAGUCGCAGGCUGACUAUCAUGAAUAUUGAAUGGUUGAAUGGUUGAGGUGUUACAACUGGCUAUGAAGCAAUUGCAGGUGAUGCUAUGGGAAAUUUGGAAGAACGAGUUUGCUUUUAUGUUGCAUUACAAGGAAUGGUACAACUGAUUAAGUGAUGGUAGAACUCUGAAGUGGUGAUAUGAUGAAUAAAUAUGAAAUGCCGAUGGAAUUGUAAAGAUGAAAUCUGAAAUGUGUGAUGUUGGUGGUGCUGAGGAGCACGAAUUUAUGUUGUUGUUGGAUGGGUAGUGUUGCUGCAGAGAAGUGCAGCUAAGAUUGGAAAGCUACAUAAACAAAUAAAAAUUUGAGUUGAAUGGUUGAGGUGCUCUAGUUGUUUGCAGCAGCAGGGUUAAGAGUGGUUGAGUGUUGGAUCUGGUGUUGGUAAUGAGUUUGGGUUGUA